GAUGAACGCUGGCGGCGUGCCUAAUACAUACCAGUCGAGCGAACGGACGAGAAGCUUGCUUUUCUGAUGUUAGCGGCGGACGGGUGAGUAACACGUGGAUAACCUACCUAUAAGACUGGGAUAACUUCGGGAAACCGGAGCUAAUACCGGAUAAUAUUUUGAACCGCAUGGUUCAAAAGUGAAAGACGGUCUUGCUGUCACUUAUAGAUGGAUCCGCGCUGCAUUAGCUAGUUGGUAAGGUAACGGCUUACCAGGGCAACGAUGCAUAGCCGACCUGAGAGGGUGAUCGGCCACACUGGAACUGAGACACGGUCCAGACUCCUACGGGAGGCAGCAGUAGGGAAUCUUCCGCAAUGGGCGAAAGCCUGACGGAGCAGCGCCGCGUGAGUGAUGAAGGUCUUCGGAUCGUAAAACUCUGUUAUUAGGGAAGAACAUAUGUGUAAGUAACUGUGCACAUCUUGACGGUACCUAAUCAGAAAGCCACGGCUAACUACGUG
rnacentral:rRNA from 1 species